AUGGCAGCGGCUGCAGCCAGGGUCUGGUGGUGUGGUUUUUUGGGGGCUGUUUCCGUAGCCGGGGGGGGGGGGCUGGGCGACCCUCAGUGUUGUUGCAGUGCGUAAGAAGGGAGAAUGUGGUGGCUGAGAAGCGCCCCACUGUCAGACCCCAGAGUGAUAUGACCCACAAGCAACUCUCAGCAUUUGGAGAGCAUGUGGCUGAAAUCUUACCCAAUUAAGUCCAACAAGUUUAGGUGACCUGCCUUGAUGAGUUAGAAAUCUGUAUCCAUCCCGAUGGAGUCAUCCCAACACUGACGUUUCUCAGGGAUCGCACCAAUGCACAAUUCAGAUCCUUGGCUGACUUGACACAGUGGAUGUCCCAACUCGGCAGAACCGUUUUGAUAUUGUCUACAACCUGCUGUCUCUGUGGUUCAACUCUAGGAUUUGGGUGAAGACCUAUGUAGAUGAGCUGACGUCCACUAACUCUAUAGUUAGGGAGGUCUGGGACAUGAUUGGAGUUUUCUUUUUUAACCACCCUGAUUUAAGAAGGAUCCUGACAGAUGAUGGCUUCGAGGGUCAUCCUUUCCGGAAAGACUUUCCCCUCACUGGCUAUGUUGAGCUACGUUAUGACGAUGAGUGAAACGGGUAGUGACUGAACCAAUGGAGCUGGCACAAGAAUUCCACAAGUUUGACCUGCUUUCGGAGGUUUUCCUUGCCUAUCGUCAGCCUCCUGAGAGUCUCAAGCUCGAAGCUGGAGACAAGAAGCCUGAAGCCAAGUAA
rnacentral:lncRNA from 1 species